AUUAUUGUAGUUGAAGAACAACGGUGGCUUUUCGAGUCACGAGUCUUGGUUAAAGUCCGAGCAUUAAUA
rnacentral:tRNA from 1 species